GAUGGUGCUUGCCGUAUCACUUAGCGGCGGACUGGUGAAUAAUGCUUAAGAAUCUGCCAAUUAAUGGGGGACAGCAUCACGAAAGGGAUGCUAAUACCGCAUACGCCCUACGGGGGAAAGCAUGGGAUCACUUGUGACCUUGCGUUAGUACAUGAGCCUAAGUCGGAUUAGCUAGUUGGUGGGGUAAAGGCCUACGAAGGCGACGAUCUGUAUCGGGUCUGAGAGGAUGAUCCGCCUCACUGGGACUGAAACACAGCCCAGACUCCUACUGGAGGCAGCAGUGGGGAAUAUUGGACAAUGGGGGGAACCCUGAUCCAGCUAUGCCGCGUGUGUGAGGAAGGCCUUAGGGUUGUAAAGCACUUUAAGCGAGGAGGAGGCUCACUUGGUUAAUACCCAAGAUGAGUGGACGUUACUCGCACAAUAAGCACCGGCUAACUCUGUGCCAGCAGCCGCGGUAAUACAGAGGGUGCGAGCGUUAAUCGGAUUUACUGGGCGUAAAGCGUGCGUAGGCGGCUUUUUAAGUCGGAUGUGAAAUCCCCGAGCUUAACUUGGGAAUUGCAUUCGAUACUGGGAAGCUAGAGUAUGGGAGAGGAUGGUAGAAUUCCAGGUGUAGCGGUGAAAUGCGUAGAGAUCUGGAGGAAUACCGAUGGCGAAGGCAGCCAUCUGGCCUAAUACUGACGCUGAGGUACGAAAGCAUGGGGAGCANACAGGAUUAGAUACCCUGGUAGUCCAUGCCGUAAACGAUGUCUACUAGCCGUUGGGGCCUUUGAGGCUUUAGUGGCGCAGCUAACGCGAUAAGUAGACCGCCUGGGGAGUACGGUCGCAAGACUAAAACUCAAAUGAAUUGACGGGGGCCCGCACAAGCGGUGGAGCAUGUGGUUUAAUUCGAUGCAACGCGAAGAACCUUACCUGGUCUUGACAUAGUAAGAACUUUCCAGAGAUGGAUUGGUGCUUUCGGGAACUUACAUACAGGUGCUGCAUGGCUGUCGUCAGCUCGUGUCGUGAGAUGUUGGGUUAAGUCCCGCAACGAGCGCAACCCUUUUCUUUAUUUGCCAGCACUUCGGGUGGGAACUUUAAGGAUACUGCCAGUGACAAACUGGAGGAAGGCGGGGAGGACGUCAAGUCAUCAUGGCCCUUACGACCAGGGCUACACACGUGCUACAAUGGUCGGUACAAAGGGUUGCUACCUAGC
rnacentral:rRNA from 1 species